rnacentral:rRNA from 1 species
UACGUAGGUGACAAGCGUUGUCCGGAUUUACUGGGCGUAAAGAGCGCGCAGGCGGUCGUUCAAGUCGAGUGUGAAAGCCCCCGGCUCAACUGGGGAGGGUCAUUCGAUACUGAUCGACUCGAAGGCAGGAGAGGGUAGUGGAAUUCCCGGUGUAGUGGUGAAAUGCGUAGAUAUCGGGAGGAACACCAGUGGCGAAGGCGGCCAUCUGGGACAACACUGACGCUGAGGCACGAAAGCGUGGGGAGCAAACAGG